AAUCAACGCUGGCGGCGUGCCUCAGACAUGCAAGUCGAACGAUUAAAGCUCUCUUCGGAGAGUGUAUAGAGUGGCGCACGGGUGAGUAACACGUAAGUAAUCUACCUUUGAGUGGGGAAUAACAGUCGGAAACGACUGCUAAUACCGCAUAAUGCAGCGGCAUCGCAAGAUGACAGUUGUUAAAGGAGCAAUCCGCUUAAAGAGGAGCUUGCGGCAGAUUAGCUAGUUGGUAAGGUAAUGGCUUACCAAGGCUACGAUCUGUAUCCGGUCUAAGAGGACGGUCGGACACACUGACACUGAAUAACGGGUCAGACUCCUACGGGAGGCAGCAGUCGGGAAUUUUGGGCAAUGGGCGAAAGCCUGACCCAGCAACGCCGCGUGAAGGAUGAAGUAUUUCGG
rnacentral:rRNA from 1 species